UUAAAGUUCAAUUUUAUUCACUUUUACCCAUUUUUUAUUUUAUCCUACCGUGUACCCUCAUCCAUGUUAUUAUACCCUCACAAAAUACAAAAAAAAAUAAAUAACAAACUCCCUAACAAAUUCUAUCCUAUCCUAACCCCUACAUCUUAUCCUAACAACCUAUCCAAUCAAAAUAAACCACAUCACACCCUACCCCUACCCCACCUUAAUACCCCA
rnacentral:lncRNA from 1 species